GAUGAACGCUGGCGGCGUGCCUAACACAUGCAAGUCGAACGAUGAAACCGCCCUCGGGCGGACAUGAAGUGGCGAACGGGUGAGUAACACGUGACCGACCUGCCCCCCGCCCAGGGACAGCCCCCCGAAAGGGGGAUUAAUACCUGGUACUCCGGAAGCGGCGCAUGCCGCCCCCGGGAAAGCUUUUUGCGGCGGGGGAUGGGGUCGCGGCCCAUCAGGUAGACGGCGGGGUAGGGGCCCACCGUGCCGACGACGGGUAGCCGGGUUGAGAGACCGACCGGCCACAGUGGGACUGAGAUACGGCCCAGACUCCUACGGGAGGCAGCAGUGGGGAAUUUUGCGCAAUGGGGGCAACCCUGACGCAGCAACGCCGCGUGCGGGACGAAGGCGUCCGCGUCGUAAACCGCUUUCAGCGGGGAACACCUAACGAGGGUACCCGCAGAAGAAGCCCCGGCUAAAUACGUGCCAGCAGCCGCAGUAAAAC
rnacentral:rRNA from 1 species